rfam:Bombyx mori DNA, contig: Bm_scaf65_contig30032, strain: p50T/Dazao, build 2, whole genome shotgun sequence.
UUAACUCAAAUUUGUAUGGAGUUGGAAAAGCUUCCCUUGGUUUGCCGCUAGGGGCGCUGUUCCAACUCCAUACAGAUUUGAGUUA